UUAAGUUCAGCGGGUAUCCCUACCUGAUCCGAGGUCAAACUGUGGGUGUACUUGAUGGACGCCGAUCCGCCAAAGCCUCUAGAAGCGCAAUGUGCUGCGCGAGAAGCUGGCAAGACCGCUGCCAAUGCAUUUAAGGCGAGUCCGCGCACGAAGCGGGACAGACGCCCAACACCAAGCUGAGCUUGAGGGUGUAAAUGACG
rnacentral:misc_RNA from 1 species